rnacentral:lncRNA from 1 species
GUGAUGUGACACCAGGUUUCUUUUGGCAAAAUGCUACUACAUCACAACCAGAAUUUGUAGGCUUCUUGUCUGCCUUACAGGUGUCAAUGAUGUCCAUCCUCUUCUUAAACAGGUUUGGUACAAGCUCCAUCCACCACAAUUAGUGCUGAAAAACUUCUGUUGAGGGUCCCUGAGUCCGUGUAGGGAUCCCAUUGCUCUCGCUUAGCAGGGAUCUCACAGAUGGACUGUGCUGACAAAGGAUGCCUGGGCUGAGAGGAGGUCUGAUACCGUGGUGUAACCCUGACAUACGUUGUCAGCAGCACUGCCAUCGCCAGCGAGAGCAAGGGGGAGGACUGAAAUUCUCCCGUUCAAUUGGGCGAAUUUGACACCUUCUCGUUCUUGUGUCCUCGUGGCUCGGCCACUUGACAUUUCUAAACAUUCUCAAGCAAGUUCACUGCAAAACUAUCCCAUGUCAGGAGCUGGUGAUGUCAAGGCUAAUAACAGUCCUGAGGUCAAACCCUUCUGAUCCUUCAGGCAAGGACCUCAAGAUUUGGCUUCAAGUCAAUAACAAGGUCUGUCACGUUGACGAUGACUUAUUAUGAAUCCCAGCGCAAGCCUUUCCCAAAGAAAGUGUGUUCGUUUGGUUUUCCAUGCUGGAAAAGGUUAGCAGUUUCCAAAGGCAGGUUCUCUCUUCCUUGCGUGGAGCAGCAAGCAAAACCUGUGAGCCUGGAAUGGGCAACAGCAUUUCACCUUAGAGCAGGAGAUGGGGACAGUGGCCUUUCUUCUGAACGGAAAACUCUGUGCAACCCAUCCUACCAAGACACACACAUCAGCAGAUGA